UUAUAAGCAAGUGCUAUAAACAGCAACUUUUUGGCUGAUUGUCUGUAAGAGGGACCGAACUGUCUCUUCCAGCUCCACCAGCUGCUUUGCUUUGUCUUCUAGAACUUUUUGAUUGUUUUCAUAUGUAUUUUCCAGAUCUGUAAGCAAAGGAAAGGAAAAACCAUCUUAAUUUGGGGUGUUUUAAUGCAGUGACAUGUAAAUUGCUAUAGUUAUGGAUAAAGUACUAUUCAUAUUUAUUUUUAUUGUGAAAGAUAAUCUGAUUGGGGAGGGGGGGAAAGGCAAAGGCACCUUUUUGUUUCCUUAACAUUGGGAUGUAAAGCAACAAGGAAGUUAUUUUCCAGAGGUGGAAAUUCAAAAGUAUACUUUGAUUAAUGGUGAAAAUAAUUGUCAUUCUUUGCUCUAUGGUGGCUUUUAGAGAACAGUGGUAUGUUUUGGCUUCUGGUGAUUAAGACUAUUCAGCAAGUCACUGAAACUGUGCAGGAAUAGCUAAGAGGGGAAGAAUGAGUUCCUGGCCUGGCAAAACCAGAAGGAAAACCUAGUUCCCCUCCCUGGUAGCAUCCCAGGGCAGAUGGCCUCCUCCUGUUUCACUCAACCUUAAUUGUCAACAGUAAAUGUUAAAUUAAUCUGUAAACGGGAACUCGUGUCCUGAUUAGCUUUUGUUUUAACAGCUUUUUCGGGGGGGGGGGCAGUACUGUUUGAAGAUGGGAGUCUUGCUUGAACAGGUUAGUCAUCAUCCCAAGCACAGUAGUUACUUUCCUUCCCUGUAGUGGUUUCUGGGAGCAGUGAUGGGUGCCAUACCACAAGUUUGUGUCUCACCUAUAAGUUUCAGCUUCUUUUAUAGAAAUCUCUGAUUCAAAAAACUGUACUGUGUCCAUAAAAAUAAGGAAAGCAGAUCAAGCUUCAGUAACAAUUAAGUUCCUUUCCCCCCCCCCACUUCUGAUGAAUACAAUAACAGCAUGAAAUUGUUUCAUGUGCUUAGGUGCCACCUUACCUCCUCAGAACAGCCUUACCUUUGAGCAGCUGGAGUUUGCUGUUUGCUUGAGCCAGCAAGGCUUUAGCUUCAUCUUGCAACAUGCCGGCUUUCCUCCUGGCAUGAGCCGACUCCUCAGUCUUCUUGGCAAUGAGUUCUUCCACGGUUCUGUACUUGCCGCUCAGCUCCGUGUUGAGGACCUGUUCCAAAUUCAAGCACAAGAUGGAGCUCAUGCGCCAGCCAGUACAGUGGGAGUUGGCAUUUCCUCCCUCCACCCUUACUAAUCUGGGUGGAAGGAGAGACUACGCUGUUAGCUCAGUUAACAAAAGCAGGAACAGUUUCAGGGUAUUUCCUGCUUACUAUUCAAGACUUUAAGGGCUGGGGUGAAGACUCAUAAGUUGCUCUUUUGCAGAUCUGUGGCUGUUUUAUUGCUUCAGUACUGUCACUUGGCAGGGAUUUAUGGGAUUAAUUUACACAGUUCUGUAACUAAUUAGUUACACACUUCUGUAACUAAUGUACAGCUGGAAAGCUACACGUGGUAAGGAACUGGCACUGUUUUGGAUUGAAUGCUUGCAUUUGGGGAGGAAUACUCUUGUUACCCUUUCAGUAAUGAGACAGCUGACUAGUUUGUGCAGAUGAAGAGCACACUUCUGAAC